rnacentral:rRNA from 1 species
UACAGAGGUCCCGAGCGUUGUUCGGAUUCAUUGGGCGUAAAGGGUGCGUAGGCGGCUUCCUAAGUUUGAUGUGAAAUCCUGGGGCUCAACCCUGGAACUGCAUUGAAUACUGGGAGGCUAGAGUACUGGAGAGGAAACUGGAAUUUACGGUGUAGCAGUGAAAUGCGUAGAGAUCGUAAGGAAGACCAGUGGCGAAGGCGGCCUGCUGGGCAGUAGCUGACACUGAGGCGCGAAAGCGUGGGGAGCAAACAGG